UUUUAACCAGGUUUUCCGAAGGAAAAAACUGGUUAUUAGAUUGGCGAAUGCGGGCGGACUGGCUGGCUGGCUGGCUGGCGGGCUGGCUGGCUGGCUGGCGGAAUAAGCUUGUCCGGGCCAUAACUAUGUCGUUCAUUGUCAGAUUUUAAAAUCAUUUGGCACAUUUGUUCACCAUCAUUGGACGGUGUGUCGCGCGAAAUAAUUACGUCGAUAUCUCCAAGGUCAAGGUCACGCUUUGAGUUCAAAGGUCAAAAAUGGCCAUAAAUGAGCUUGUCCUGGCCAUAA